GUCUCUAUCUCUCUGUCUCUUUCUGUGUCUGUCUCUCUCUUCUGUUUCUGUCUUUCUCUCUCUGUCUGUCUCCGUUUUUCUGUUUCUCUUCUAGCUCUCUCUGUCUCUAUUUCUGUGUCUCUGUCUUUCUAUCUCUUUGUGUCUCUCUGUCUCUCUCAGGAGACAAGCUUUCACACACGGGUAUUCCUGCAGUCCUAAGGCAUAGUCUCACCAGGAAUCUUGCUCUCCUGCCGCUUCCCUCUCAGCGGGAUGAUCCUGGCUCCAGGUCCCCUCUGCUACACUGCCUUUUGGCAAGACUGGCCACUGUACAGCUAUGACUCAGUUUCCUCCCAGGUGUGCUUUCACCUGCAUUGUGCCAGGCCCUGGAGAUAAGAUAUAUGGAAAGAACACAGUUGCUGAACAGGAACACAGUUACGUCCAAUUGGUAGACGUUGAGAAAGAGGUGGAUAAAAUUUUAAACGCCUUAGAAAUGAGACCCUGAAAGAGACUGGAAACUGAGUGGACGUCCAUCAGUGGGAGAAUGGCUGGAUAAAUUGUGGUAUAUGAAUAUUAUGGAAUAUUAUUGUUCUGUAAGAAACAAUCAGCAGGAUGAUGUCAGAGAGGCCUGGAGAGACUGACAGGAACUGAUGCUGAGUGAAAUGAGCAGGACCAGGAGACUCAUUAUAACGGCAACAACAAGAUUAUACAAGGAUCGAUUCUGAUGGAUGUGGCUCUUCUCAACAGUGAGAUGGUCCAGACCGGUCCCAAUGGUCUUGUGGUGGAGAGAGCCAUUUGCCAAUCGUCUCAAUUUCUCCAUCUGUAAAAUGGGACCAUUGGACUUCCUAACCUCGAAGACCCCAAAUCCUAAGCUCUAUGACCUUCUGACAGGAAUUUAAGCUGAAAUUGAGCUUUCCCUCAAGAUGUGCUCUGCAGGCAGAUGGAUGGAUGAAGGAGCAGCACGGUGGGAACCAUCGGCCCAGCAGAAGAUUCGAGCGUAAGGAGACUUUCUGCAUAUUCUGGCCCACUGGCAGACCUCCAGAUGGCCGAAGCAGAGCAUCGCCAUGAGCAGCGUACAGCGUGAGAGGAGAGUUGGGAGAGUGGCUCCUGUACACGUGAUUCCCAAGAAUCUUAAAGCUGGAAGGCAAUCUCGGGGCGCCCGGCCCGACCUCCCCAACGAGCAGCUUGCAGUCUCCACUUGAAGACUUCCAAGAAGGGCCACUUCCCCCUUGCCGAGGUAGCCCGGGCCACUUUGUGAUGCUAGUUGUGAGAAAGUUCUUUGACCCUUUUUAUCUCACUGUCCCCUUCUGGCACCCCUUCUUGUGAACCAUUCCCCGAUCCGGUUUCCCUAUCUUGUUAUCGAUGUUGUUCGGUCAUUUUUCAAUUGUGUCUGGCUGUGUGUGACCCCGUUUGGGAUUUUCUUGGCAAAGAUGCUGGAGUGAUUGAACAUUUCCUUCUCCAGCCCAUUUUACAGAUGAGCAAACUGAGGCAAGCAGGUGAAGCGACUUGCCCAGGAUCACACAGCUAGUGAGUCUCUGAGGCCAGAUGUGAAGAAAGGUUUUCCUGACUUCAGGACAGUGCCCCCGUACCUUCCUUGUCUCCUUCCACUGCUUUCCAGCCCCAUCUCCUCUCUGUCUUCCUGGUUAACAAGCCAGUCUGGCCCAGACCACUUCCUCUCACUCCAUUUUUCUCUCUUUUGAUUGGUCAGUCAGUCAACAAGUAUUUAUUAAGAACCUACUAUGUGCUAGGCCCUGGGUAACUGCUGGGGAUGUAAAUAAAGGCCUCCCCCAAAGCAUUUCCACUCAGCAGCUUUAGGGUUCUGGGCCAUCCUCCGAGAUUGGAGCGGCUCACUUGGCUUGGAUCCUUCAUCCUGAGCUCCUGUCUCUCUGGGUCUUCAGCCCCCGCAGGCCUCCCUUCCCUCCAGGACUUAAGUCAGCUACUCUCUGGCACAUAGUGGGUGGUUAAUGAAUCCCAGUUGUCUUAGCCUUGACCCCAUAAAGACCCGUGAGCUAGAGAACCUCACAAUUAGAUAAAUGGAAAACUAGCUAAACACAGGCUCCAGCGAGCGGGCCUGAAGCGCGCAAUGUCAGCGGCCUUUGGCUGAACCAAAGGAGGGGAAAUAGAAUGGGAACAGACGCUUAAAGCCUUAGAUUUGGUUAGGAGACCAUCAUCCUACAUCAAAGAUGGGGGGUAGGUUUAGAUGGUAGUUUGAAAAAGAGUUGAGAGUUUUAGUGGACCACAAGCUCAUUAGGUAUCAACCAUGUGACUUGGUAGUUAAACGCACACUCACGUGACCUUGGGCCUAUGCUAACAAAACAGUUUAGUUAUUAGCAUUUUCCCCAUCACUUUCUUAAGUCCAGACAGUCCCCAGAACAAUAAAGCCAAGCCCCACUUGGCCCUGUGCCCAUUUCUGAGGUGUGGCUGCCGGGGUAACCCUUGGUGGGAGUACGCCCUGAGGGGGGUCAGAGAGGGAGAGCCCCACUGUGCCCCCAGCCCUGGGCCGUGCCUCCGGGGGAGCCUCCGGGGGAGUCGCUGAAGGAGUCGCAGAAGGAGCGGGUACUGAGACAGAAUCAGAGGCCCAAGUGGCAAAGUCCUGCAGGGAGCGGCUGAGGGGGCUGGUGCUGCGCCCCGCAGUGUGAGGGGCAGCAGGAAGGCAAGCGCGCCGUGUCCAGGCCAGGGGAGAGGCCACCCAGGCCAGGGACACUUUGUGGCAAGGACAGGGAGAAUGUGCUGAACCUCCUGCCGCUCUGACUCGGGGAAGGCUUAGCCUCCAGAACAGACGCUCAGCGGCCUCCCCAGCUG